AUAGAUACCCCGGUAGUCCACGCCGUAAACGAUGGAUACUAGCUGUUUGAGCGCAAGUUUGAGUGGCUAAGCGAAAGUGAUAAGUAUCCCACCUGGGAGUACGGGCGCAAGCCUGAAACUCAAAGGAAUUGACGGGGGCCCGCACAAGCGGUGAAGCAUGUGGUUUAAUUCGAUGAUACGCGAGGAACCUUACCAGGGCUUAAAUGUAGAUUGACGUAUUUGGAAACAGAUAUUUCUUCGGACAAUUUACAAGGUGCUGCAUGGUUGUCGUCAGCUCGUGCCGUGAGGUGUCAGGUUAAGUCCUAUAACGAGCGCAACCCCUGUUGUUAGUUGCCAGCGAGUAAUGUCGGGAACUCUAGCAAGACUGCCAGUGUAAACUGUGAGGAAGGUGGGGAUGACGUCAAAUCAUCACGGCCCUUACGUCCUGGGCCACACACGUGCUACAAUGGCCGGUACAGAGAGCAGCCACUUAGCGAUAAGGAGCGAAUCUAUAAAGCCGGUCACAGUUCGGAUCGGAGUCUGCAAC
rnacentral:rRNA from 1 species